CACCACUGAUUUUUAGAUAAAUUGCCACUAAUAACACUUUAGGGACAAGCCACCACAUAUGUAGAUAUACUGCCAUUACAACACUUUGUGGACAAGCCACCACUAAUUUACAGAUAAACUGCCACAUACUUCCACCUUUCAUAAAACCAACCCAUCUGUGUGAUAUGGCAAUUUCGGUUUUUAAUACAUAUGAAUCACUUUUACACUUAGGCAUGUGAACAUGCUCACAUACUCACAUAUCACUUAAUAAUCACUUUUAAUCACUUUCACAUGCUUUAGCAUGCUUUUUACAUUAGAUCAUAGAUUUCAAUAAUAACAUACACAUAUAUAGAUAUCACAUAUUAAAAUCAUCAAACAUAUCACAUAAGCCAUGCAUCACAUAUCUUUGUCAAAGUUAUAAUCACAUCAUAUUUCAUGCAUUUCAUAGAAUUACUCAGUUAGAGUCAUUU
rnacentral:lncRNA from 1 species